GUUGCAUUUGUUGUUCAAUAAAAAAUGAGAGUGGCUUUGCCGGCGGUGGUUGUUGACUGAGAGUAGCUAAAGGAGAUCGACAAGGCUCGCCGCCAUCUCCGCUUACUCACCGCCAACAGAAACUGCGCUCAUAUCAUGCUUCGCUUGCCGUCUAUGUAUCUUAUACAUCAUUUUAUCCCCAUCUCUUUCAUUCUUCAAUCAAUCAAACAAUUCAAGAGGAAGUGAAGGGAAAACAUCCCAGGAUUACAUAUGCAGACCUUUACCAGUGUUGGGUGCUUGAAUGAAACUUAAAUGGACAGACUUAAGUGCUCAAAAGUGUAUGAAGAUAGAACCCUAUGCACCAUAAGGUUGACACUGAUAACUUCAACCCUCGACCACAGAAGAAUACAGUUGGAGAGAGAUUGUCUAGCUUUGGUCAGUUAAUCAGCUAGUCUGGGUUGUUUUGUCCGUUUUUCCGGUUCUCUUUGAAGCUUGCAUGUGUUGUUGUAGUUGAGGUUACUAGGGGUCCCACAAUUGACUAAGUUCCCGGAAGAAGGGUAUGUUGUGCCAUAUUAAUAUAUUGUUUGUUGUGACAAUAUCAGAAUCUUGUUAGUUCAUGUUACUUUAUCUCUUGUGGGGUUAAAAAAUAUCUCCCAAAGAAGGGCGACUUCCUGAUGCCAAACAAGGGAAUAUCACAUCCAGAGAGAUCAGGGUUUGAUGGCCCUUGGACAGAGGAUCCCCUGAAGUUUGACAACUCAUACUUUGUGUAGGACUUUAGCUUUGUGCAAUACUGCUGCUUAUUUUAGCCUUCCUACUAGGACAUUUGUAGAGCUUCAGUUUUGUCUCCAAAUAUGGGCUGAUCUUAAUUAUAUUUAGAAGCUAAAUAUCAUUGUUGAUAUCAGGGAACUUUCAAAAGAAGAUUCUGCGGGGCUGCUUAAACUUCCAACAGGCAAGGCUUUAUUGGAUGCUCCUGAGUUUUGCAAUCCCAUAUCAUUGUAUGCAAUGGUAACGGGAUUGCUUAAUUCAAACGGCCAUUACGUUGUCCCCAUUUGUUUUAUUUAGUCCAUUGUCCUGCCAAUUUAAUGUGUUUCAUUAGUAUUUCAUAAGUCUCCUUACUAUGCCAUGAAGCCUGUUUGUGUGUUGCCAAAUACACAACUAAUGAAGUCUAUACAGUAAACCAAACAUAUUGCAUCUAUUAGCACUUACUUUUAUGUAGACUAGCUUACCUAAGACAUCCAUGGGAAGUUUUGGUUUUUCUCCAAAUCCAUUGAAGAAAAAGUAAAGGUUAGCUAUUUGUAGCAAUAUUCUGAGUGUAUUGAUGUAUUUUCCCAUUACUUGAAUCUGUCUGCUGCUCUUACUUCCAAACUGGCCCUCAGGCAGGAUGAGGAUAAUUUUUUUUUAGAGAUUAUGCUGAAUCACAUAAGAAACUCAGAGCUAGUCUCUGUGCCCUCAAAGGCAGCUUCUCCUAAGUCCUAAGGACUCAACUGUACUGGUGCAUGGUGCUGUCGGAGUUGUAGUUACUGCUGUGGUGGUGGUGAUCUUCAGUUACCUGUACUAAGUUCGCAAAAGAGGGAAGUAGACUCGGCUUUGUUAAUCUCACUCAAAUAUGACAUAUGUGUGACCUAUAAUGAGAAAUAUUGGGAUCAGUUUCGCAGUUUCAAUAUCUGUUUUCUUUGUACCAAUAGGAGUAAUGCUACAGUUAUUCUGAUUAUUUGAAUAGACUAAAUACACAACUGAAUACUCCAUUCAAUAGCAACAUUAUAAUAUUUAAAUUAACAUUUUAUACCCCCAGUGACAUGUUUUUGUUCUCUGAAGAAUUUGACAAGGAGGAUAGACAUGCAAAUAGACUAAUUGUAUACAUGUCACGUGCAGGUAAACCAGAAUUAUGAAAACCUGUGAACACAAUCUGGACAAGUAACUCCUCCAUGCCUUUACCUCAUCUGUGACAUGCUCUAAAUUAAUACGUACUCCACGAGAUGAGAGAACUCUAAGGCAAGCUUUGAUCACAAAAUAUUAAAUAUUGGAUCUUUAAUAAUUGUACACCAUUUAUGCCACCAAUAAUGUGCAUAUUUUCUUCAAACACACGACAUCAUAUACACUUCUGUUAGGUAUUGGAAGAGAGUUGGUGUUCAAACUACAAAAUGAGAGUAGUUUUAAUCACCUAAUCAUAUGGUAAAAAUCAUACAGGUUUGAUGUGAAUCUUGUGUAAUUGUGUAUUAGGCUAUUAGCACAGUUGUAAUGCACUGUAUAUCUAAACAUAGGAUAACCAAUAAUUUUAACAUUCAGUAAAUGUGAGAGCUAUGCAUGUGCUGAAUAUAUAGAAGGUGGUGCUUUAGCUCUGCAAGUUUAACACAAAUACAGCAAUUUGGAAGUGGGGUUCUAGCUCAUAUUUUUAAUAAUUUUAACAUUCAGAAGAUAGAUUUUGCUGGACUAGGAUCAGAUAAAGUGCUUGAUAUGGCAAUUACUAAUCGAGUUAGAUGACUUAUCCUAUCCUCUGAAUGUUACUUUACGAAGAUUCAGAUGACUUCCCUCUGACUCUAGCACCUCAUAUAUUAUAAUCCUCAGGCUGUAGAACAUGCUAUCCUAUUUAAAAAGGAAAGAAAAGCAUGACGUUAAUAUCAACUCGAGGCAUGGUCUGAGAUAGAUAAUCUGUAUCAGCAAUUGGUGUCUGUCAUUAGUGUUAAAAAAAGACAUUUUUUGAGCAAUGAAUAAUGGGUUUUAAAUUU
rnacentral:sRNA from 1 species